AACGUACGCUGGCGGCACGCCUAACACAUGCAAGUCGAACGAAGUAGCAAUACUUAGUGGCAGACGGGUGAGUAACAUGUAGGUAUCUGCCCUUUGGCCUGGAAUAACACGAGGAAACUUGUGCUAAUACCGGAUAAGUCUUUACGGAGAAAGCUUUAUGCACCAUUGGAUGAGCCUGCACUUGAUUAGUUUGUUGGUGGGGUAAUGGCCUACCAAGACUGUGAUCAAUAGCUGAUUUGAGAGGAUGAUCAGCCACAUUGGGACUGAGACACGGCCCAAACUCCUACGGGAGGCAGCAGUGGGGAAUCUUGCACAAUGGAGGAAACUCUGAUGCAGCGAUGCCGCGUGAGUGAAGAAGGCCCUUGGGUUGUAAAGCUCUUUCGUCGGGGAAGAAAAUGACUGUACCCGAAUAAGAAGGUCCGGCUAACUUCGUGCCAGCAGCCGCGGUAAUACGAAGGGACCUAGCGUAGUUCGGAAUUACUGGGCUUAAAGAGUUCGUAGGUGGUUGAAAAAGUUAGUGGUGAAAUCCCAGAGCUUAACUCUGGAACUGCCAUUAAAACUUUUCAGCUAGAGUAUGAUAGAGGAAAGCAGAAUUUCUAGUGUAGAGGUGAAAUUCGUAGAUAUUAGAAAGAAUACCAAUUGCGAAGGCAGCUUUCUGGAUCAUUACUGACACUGAGGAACGAAAGCAUGGGUAGCGAAGAGGAUUAGAUACCCUCGUAGUCCAUGCCGUAAACGAUGUGUGUUAGACGUUGGAAAUUUAUUUUCAGUGUCGCAGGGAAACCGAUAAACACACCGCCUGGGGAGUACGACCGCAAGGUUAAAACUCAAAUGAAUUGACGGGGACCCGCACAAGUAGUGGAGCAUGUGGUUUAAUUCGAAGAUACGCGCAGAACCUUACCAACACUUGACAUGUUCGUCGCGACUCUAAGAGAUUAGAGUUUUCGGUUCGGCCGGACGAAACACAGGUGCUGCAUGGCUGUCGUCAGCUCAUGUCGUGAGAUGUUGGGUUAAGUCCCGCAACGAGCGCAACCCUCACUUUUAGUUGCCAUCAUUAAGUUGGGCACUCUGAAAGAACUGCCAGUGAUAAGCUGGAGGAAGGUGGGGAUGACGUCAAGUCCUCAUGGCCCUUACGUGUUGGGCUACACACGUGCUACAAUGGUAUCUACAACAGGAAGCAAGACUGCGAAGUUAAGCAAAUCCCUAAAAGAUACCUCAGUUCGGAUUGCACUCUGCAACUCGAGUGCAUGAAGCUGGAAUUACUAGUAAUCGUGGAUCAGCGUGCCACGGUGAAUGCGUUCCCGGGUCU
rnacentral:rRNA from 1 species